UAAGUAAGACAGACAAUCGCGGCUGUCUGCGAGAGCAGCAGACGAGGAAAGUCCGGGCUUCACAGGGCAGGAUGCCGGAUAACGUCCGGUGGAGGUGACUCCAAGGAAAGUGCAACAGAAAUAAACCGCCUGUCAAUGCCUCUUAGGCGAAUGUCUUAAGAGUUGACAGGUAAGGGUGGAAAGGCAGUGUAAGAGACUACCGCCUUGCCGGUAACGGGAAGGGCACAUGUAAACCCCAUCCGAAGCAAGACUAAACGCAGGCUAUGUGGCUGCCCGUCACGCCUUAGGUAAGUCGCUUGAACCUGGCGGCGACGCCAGGUCUAGAUAGAUGAUUGUCCAACGACAUAACCCGGCUUAUCGUCUUGCUUAACCG
rnacentral:RNase_P_RNA from 1 species